rnacentral:tRNA from 1 species
GCGGUGGUAGCCCAACGGUAGAGGCACGGAUUUUAGGUGUCCGUCAGUGCGGGUUCGAGUCCCGCCCGCCGCACCA